rnacentral:lncRNA from 1 species
CACGUUACAAGCAAAAUUAGUUUCUCAAAGAAGAAACUUUGGGCGGACGAAGGUUGACUUCCAUGGCAGGAGGACAGCAAAAUAAGCAAAUUUAUUCAUUUAUGUCAAUAUUAUUGCAAUUUUCAUCAAUAUGAGUUUCUCUCUCAGAUAAUAACUUACAGGAAAUCCCUUCAACUCGUCUGCUGUUGUUUCUUUUGCUUGCCGCAGUCGCAGCUCCGGCGGCCUUUCUUCUACGGGAAAGGAAAAUUGUGAAAACUACGGCAACCCUUUUGAUGUAGGUGAAGAGAGGACGAGUUCGAGGUCUGCCAUGGUCCUUGUUUGUGUUAGAAUUCUGUUUUCUUUGGCUUGAUGUGUUCUUCAUUUGCAGAGAUAGAUCUUUCUUUUGUGGAUUAUGUUCUUUGCUUAAACUUGGAAGCAAUUGGGGAUUUUGGUUGUUUCCAAAUCCAUGUCUUUAAUUCUAUUGAAUAUUUUUGCAGGACCAAUUCAAGCUGCAAGUGAAUUAGUGCUUGUCUUGAAGGGAAGAUUAUCAAAAGCGCCGGAAAUUUUUAUAUUAAAAUUGCCAAGUCAACGGAGUACCGUCUGAUGAAUAUACUAAUCUCGCAGUCCAGAAUCCAG